rnacentral:siRNA from 1 species
UAGGUGUAUGCCGUUUGAAGUG